UCCUACGGGAGGCAGCAGUGGGGAAUAUUGCACAAUGGGCGCAAGCCUGAUGCAGCAACGCCGCGUGAGGGAUGACGGCCUUCGGGUUGUAAACCUCUUUUAGCAGGGAAGAAGCGAAAGUGACGGUACCUGCAGAAAAAGCGCCGGCUAACUACGUGCCAGCAGCCGCGGUAAUACGUAGGGCGCAAGCGUUAUCCGGAAUUAUUGGGCGUAAAGAGCUUGUAGGCGGUUUGUCGCGUUUGCUGUGAAAUCCCGAGGCUCAACCUCGGGUCUGCAGUGGGUACGGGCAGACUAGAGUGCGGUAGGGGAGAUUGGAAUUCCUGGUGUAGCGGUGGAAUGCGCAGAUAUCAGGAGGAACACCGAUGGCGAAGGCAGAUCUCUGGGCCGUAACUGACGCUGAGGAGCGAAAGGGUGGGGAGCAAACAGGCUUAGAUACCCUGGUAGUCCACCCCGUAAACGUUGGGAACUAGUUGUGGGGUCCAUUCCACGGAUUCCGUGACGCAGCUAACG
rnacentral:rRNA from 1 species